rnacentral:lncRNA from 1 species
UGAGGCGUCUGGCCGUUCGGCGGCGGGUAAUACUCGACGGGACUGAGGGGGUAAGCGGAGGGAAUUAUCUCCUCCUCGAUGCCCUUCGCCGGUCGCUCCUGCUGCUGGCGGUGAGCCAUCGCUGCCGCCGUUGUCUCCUGUUGACCAUUACCGACUUGCAGCUUCUCCUGCUCCCGCUUCGUGCCCCGGUGGAUCUCGGGCUGAUUUGAAUCUGAGAUGAGCGGCUUCCCGGCCCCUCCGACCCAAUUAUCCUCCAUCGACGAGCCUGAUCCCGUCGCCGCCGCCGGAAUCGGGCCGGCAGCGGGAGCGU